GCCCAGGUAGCUCAAUCGGCAGAGCGGCGGUUUUGUAAACCGCAGGUCGUGGGUUCGAGUCCCACCCUGGGCUCCA
rnacentral:tRNA from 2 species